rnacentral:rRNA from 1 species
UACGUAGGCAGCGAGCGUUGUUCGGAGUUACUGGGCGUAAAUAGUGCGUAGGCGGUUUUCUAAGUUUGGUGUGAAAUCUCCCGGCUCAACUGGGAGGGUGCGCCGAAGACUGGAAGGCUUGAGUAUGGGAGAGGUAAGCGGAAUUCCUGGUGUAGCGGUGAAAUGCGUAGAUAUCAGGAGGAACACCUGCGGUGUAGACGGCUUACUGGACCAUAACUGACGCUGAGGCACGAAAGCGUGGGUAGCAAACAGG